ACAAAAAGGUAAAAUUGCACCUUUUUAUGUUGGUCUACUCUAAGUUUUUUAACUUCAUAAUUGCGAGAUAUAGACAAAUUGAAUUUUAUAUUUAAACUCGCAAAUAUAGGAAUCUGACUGGUGAAAUAUAAAUUCAGAAAUUUGAGGAAAAGGAGUCUGAAUGGUGAGAUAUAAACUCGUUAAUUUGAGGAAAAAGAGUCUGAAUGUGAGAUAUAAAUUCAAAUUUGAGGAAAAAGAGUCUGAAUGGUGAAGUAUAAACUCGCAAAUUUGAGGAAAAAGAGUGAAUGGUGAAGUAUAAACUCGCAAAUUUGAGGAAAAAGAGUCUGAAUGUGAGAUAUAAAUUCAAAUUUGUGGAAAAAGAGUUUGAAUGUGAGAUAUAAACUCGCAAAUUUGAGGAAAAAGAGUGAAUGGUGAAAUAUAAACUCGCAAAUUUGAGGAAAAAGAGUGAAUGGUGAAGUAUAAACUCGCAAAUUUGAGGAAAAAGAGUCUGAAUGUGAGAUAUAAAUUCAAAUUUGAGGAAAACGAGUCUGAAUGUGAGAUAUAAAUUCAAAUUUGAGGAAAACGAGUCUGAAUGUGAGAUAUAAAUUCAAAUUUGAGGAAAAAGAGUCUGAAUGGUGAAAUAUAAGCACAACUGUGAGAAGAAAAGUCUAAACUGUGAGAUAUCAACUUCCCUUUGGAUAUCAUGUUUUUUGUUUAGUUAUAUGCCCGACUGCCCAUGCAGGGCCUUGUACUGAACACUGGCGUUCUACAUAAUGCCAGACCUGAAGAACCUGUGAAGACUCAUUUCAUAUGCUUGUUAUGUAUUUCAUUAAGUCGAGGCUAAUGCAUGAAAUGACUACAUUUGCUUUUCCUUCAGAGGUCCAGGAAGAAACUCAUGUUUCUGGACUGGCCGGCUCGCAGCGCAGCACAUUAACUAAUCGAAUUUACACAGCUACUUGUGAUGCAAAUCUGAUGUGAUGUUACAUCUGUUGCUGAGGUGAUAGCAAAAGGGCUAAUGACACAUUUCUGUCAAUGCUUCACCCUCAACAGAGUUCUUGUUUGAAUCCAGUUCAACAUAAACCUGAUCACUGAUAUUUACUGUUUAACAGCAGGUGGCGCUCUCAGGAACGAAUGUCAAAUACUGAAGGAACUCUUUAUUCUAUGAUAAAAAAAACAAAACAAAUAUGCAUAUUCACAUGCAGACAUGUAUAUGGCUAUGUUACCACAAGGUAAAUAUUUGACUGCUAUUGUAUGUUAUUUGUGGCUCAUUGUGUGGUUGAUAUUCACGCAGACCAAUAUUUAUUCACCAUUACAAUAAGUGCUUCAUCAAAUCAGAAUCAGAAAAACACUAACAUACUACAUGUGCUUGUCAUUCAGUCAGUAUUCAUCAAUGUAAACUAAUAGAUCUUUUUCUGAUAUGUCACGAAUACAUUUUUUUUUAAUCGCAUACUGUAUACACUACCAGUCAAAAACCAUGGACACACUUAACUCUAUUUAUGUCCUGAUUUUCUAAUAGAAAUUGGUAAUUAAUAUUAAUCAGCAUGCAAAAUUACAAUAAAUUAAUAUAGAUUUAUAAUAUUAAUUCAUACAGAUAUUUCAUUGAUAUUACACACACACACACACACACACACACACACACACAGCAGAUAUAUAUAUAUAUGUUGGCUUUAUAUCAAGUAUAUUUAACUACUAUGCAUUAACAUAUAAUCUUGUGAUACAAUGCAUUUAUUUUGUACAUAAUUGUUUUUAUAUUGCACUUGCAUGUAAAAUACUUGUAUGUAAUUAUAACUGUAAUUCAUUUCUGUGAAGACACCUAUAAUUACAAUGUGUUUUGCUUAACAACAUGAACACAAUAAAUACAUUUAUACCAAAUAUAUAUUUAGUUUUCUACAUAGUAGUUAAAGACACCUAAUAUAAAGCGGGAUUUAAUAUUUAUAAAAUUUUAAUCUAAUGGCUUAUGGAUGAAUCUUAUGUAAAAUGUUAAGGACAAAAACAAGAACAAACAAAACUGUAAAAAAAAGUAACUAGGUUGCAGCCAAUAGUAAAUACAAAUUUAAAUCUAGAAAAAUAAGAUCAAAUUCAAAUUUGAUUUGCCAUGUUAUGUGGUCUCUACAUAAUUCCUACAGUUUCAGUGUUAAUUCAAAGUUAUUAUAUUCACGUUUUAAUAACAGAAGAAAAAGUGUGUCAGAUCUUUUCACUGAUAGUGUAAAUGUCCACAUACACUGAAUAAAGAUAACACUGACCGACUCUGCAUGUAUAACGUCUGUAAAUACAGUGAAGAAGAAAACGUCCUUCUUAUUUCUCACACGCCUGACCUCGUGUAUUCAGCUAGCUCAUCUGAGUCUUACUGUAUAUGAUCAUAGGACUAUGACAAGGACAUGCCAGCUUUUUUCUUUUGCGUUGUGUUCAGGUUUCUCUGGACUUUCAGCUCAGGGUUGAGUCAUAUUCAUAAAGCAGUCAGAAAUAGAAAUAGAAAUACAACAUUAAUGCUUCGUUCUGAUGCUGCUGUCAAUGUUGUGGUUCUCAUUUUAAUAAAAACAUGACAUAUGUGGAAAAUGUAGAUAAUAGGUAGUCAUGCUUUGCGCUUUAAUGUGUGCUAUCAUGACCAAUGAAAGCAGAGAAGUAGUGGUCACAUUCAGUCAUUCGCUGUAUGGCAGGCUGAUUGAAUGAAUUUGCCCAUUAACCUGAACAUCUCUUAUUGUAUAUCGUAGUGUGGCAAAAUAUAGAUGUGCAAACUCAUUUGAAUUGAUCAGAGGGUGAACAUAUUUCAUAUAGCAUUCAGAAAUGUCAUGCACUUGAAUUUGUUUAUUGUUUUUGUAGCCUUGCUAUUCUGUUGCAUGAUGGGACACCCAUGAAUUCAUUGUUUUGGUAGAACUGUGAUUUUAUUUCCCUACAAAUUAAAAUAAUUUUUCAAGAUUUGUUGACUGAAAACACGGUUUCCACGUUUUCAAAUGUUUGUUAUUAUGCAAUAGUUUGUUUCAUUGCAAAAUCUUAGCAUUUUCUAAACCAAUUUCUUCUGGUGAAUUUUUACAAAACCUGUCAAGAACGUCAUAUCAGGGUCACAAUUUACCCCAAAAUCCAAAGAAUGUUAUUAAUAUGAAUUAUUGGUAUUAAGAAAACGAUGCCUAUAUAACAUAUUGUGAAAAAGAAAAAUCAUCUCAGUGUUUCUGAUUAAAAAAAUAACAAAAACUAAAUAUUGUUUGUGGACAGCAUGAUUUUGAUUUUCUCAUUAGAGUAAUGUCAAUAUAAUGAGAAAUGAAUAGAAAACAUCUGGAUGCAUUACAAAAAUGAGGAUUUGAGAGGAAAAUGUCCUUAAUUAUCAUGAGAAUAACAUCACAAUGCAAAAAAUAUAUGUAUAUUGUACUUUCUUCUUCUUAUUAUUUUUAAUGUGUUUUCAGGAUAAAAUAUGACAUGGAAAAGUUAAAUUAAACCGUUUGGAUGACAGUAUAGAGGUCUUUUAAGUAUAUGCUGUGAUUAAAAUAAAUUGUCAAUUGAGGGAGGAAAAAAGAAAAAGAAAUAAUGCAACAUUCACCAAUUCUUGUCAUUUACUUUGAGAUCUUGAUCAGCAUUUUGUGUUAAAGAUACCCUAGAAGAGCAUCUGUAAAAUGCUUGUACAUGUUUUUUUGUUUUUCAUCUUUAGAGGUUUGAGAUCUUUUUGACUGGUGAUUUCUCAGCGGUAUGUGAAAUGUGUUUUGUUUGCAUGUUUAUCAGCUUUCUGCAAUCUGUCAUCUAAUUUCAGAAUACAGCUCUGGGAGUAUCCAAAAAAAAAAGAAAAAAAAAGAAAAACAGUUUCCAGAUUCACUGGGAAUGGCCUUAUGAAAUUUGUAAAUUGAUUUUUGAUUGUUUAUAUGUUUAAGAAAAAUAAAAUAUAUAUAUAUAUUGUUUUAUAUGUUAGUACUGCCACAAUAAAACUGGAGUGUAAACAUU